rnacentral:rRNA from 1 species
UACGGAGGGUGCAAGCGUUAUCCGGAUUCACUGGGUUUAAAGGGUGCGUAGGUGGGCAGGUAAGUCAGUGGUGAAAUCUCCGGGCUUAACCCGGAAACUGCCAUUGAUACUAUAGGUCUUGAAUUUUCUGGAGGUAAGCGGAAUAUGUCAUGUAGCGGUGAAAUGCUUAGAUAUGACAUAGAACACCAAUUGCGAAGGCAGCUUACUACGGGAACAUUGACACUGAGGCACGAAAGCGUGGGGAUCAAACAGG